GGCCCGUUGGUCAAGUGGUUAAGACACCGCCCUUUCACGGCGGGAACAUGGGUUCAAAUCCCGUACGGGUCA
rnacentral:tRNA from 1 species